AUGCUCGCUGCGGGGGUCGGAGGUCAGGGCGAGCGUCUCGCGGGCCGAAGAAGGAAGAUGGCGGUGGAAUCCCGCGUAACCCAGGAGGAAAUUAAGAAAGAGCCAGAGAAGCCAAUUGACCGCGAGAAGACAUGCCCGCUGCUGUUGCGAGUCUUCACCACCAAUAAYGGCCGCCACCACCGAAUGGAUGAAUUCUCCCGCRGAAACRUACCCUCCAGCGAGCUGCAGAUCUAUACUUGGAUGGAUGCAACUUUGAAAGAACUAACUAGUUUAGUAAAAGAAGUUUACCCAGAAGCUAGAAAGAAGGGAACACACUUCAAUUUUGCAAUUGUUUUUAUGGAUCUUAAAAGACCUGGCUAUCGAGUUAAGGAGAUUGGCAGCACCAUGUCUGGCAGAAAGGGGACUGACGAUUCCAUGACCUUGCAGUCGCAGAAGUUCCAGAUAGGCGAUUAUUUGGACAUAGCCAUUACCCCUCCAAAUCGAGCACGGCCUCCUUCAGGGCGUAUGAGACCAUAUUAAAUUAUAUUUACUAUCUCUCAAAUUUAUUUUUCAGCCAGUUAUGUAAAAUAAACUUACAUACUCUUUCCUCCCCUGAUUUUUGCCAUUAAGCCUUUAAAUUCUAAACAAAUUGUAAUGCAUCUAUUUAGGAGUUAGAUUUGGAUAUACUAUGGGUAUAGAUAUUAAUAGAAAGUCUGUAUGUUUCACGCCUCUGUAAAA